rnacentral:misc_RNA from 1 species
CGAAAUGCGAUAAGUAAUGUGAAUUGCAGAAUUCAGUGAAUCAUCGAAUCUUUGAACGCACCUUGCGCUCCUUGGUAUUCCUUGGAGCAUGCCUGUUUGAGUAUCAUGAAAUCUUCAAAGUAAAUCUUUUGUUAACUCAAUUGGUUUCUACUUUGGUAUUGGAGGUCUUUGCAGCUUCACACCUGCUCCUCUUUGUUCAUUAGCUGGAUCUCAGUGUUAUGCUUGGUUCCACUCGGCGUGAUAAGUUAUCUAUCGCUGAGGACACUGUAAAAGGUGGCCAAGGUAAAUGCAGAUGAACCGCUUCCAAUAGUCCAUUGACUUGGACAAUACUUUUAUGAUCUGAUCUCAAAUCAGGUAGGACUACCCGCUGAACUUAAGC